GUGGAUUAGAUACCCUGGUAGUCCACGCCGUAAACGAUGGAUACUAGCUGUUGGGCGCAAGUUCAGUGGCUAAGCGAAAGUGAUAAGUAUCCCACCUGGGGAGUACGAACGCAAGUUUGAAACUCAAAGGAAUUGACGGGGGCCCGCACAAGCGGUGGAGCAUGUGGUUUAAUUCGAUGAUACGCGAGGAACCUUACCAAGGCUUAAAUGUAGAUUGACCGGUUUGGAAACAGACUUUUCGCAAGACAAUUUACAAGGUGCUGCACGGUCGUCGUCAACU
rnacentral:rRNA from 1 species